rnacentral:rRNA from 1 species
AUAGGGGAGCCGGAGGGAAACCGAGUCUUAAUUGGGCGUUAAGUUGCAGGGUAUAGACCCGAAACCCGGUGAUCUAGCCAUGGGCAGGUUGAAGGGUGGGUAACACUAACUGGAGGACCGAACCGACUAAUGUUGAAAAAUUAGCGGAUGACCUGUGGCUGGGGGUGAAAGGCCAAUCAAACCGGGAGAUAGCUGGUUCUCCCCGAAAGCUAUUUAGGUAGCGCCUCGUGAAUUCAUCUCCGGGGGUAGAGCACUGUUUCGGCUAGGGGGCCAUCCCGGCUUACCAACCCGAUGCAAACUGCGAAUACCGGAGAAUGUUAUCACGGGAGACACACGGCGGGUGCUAACGUCCGUCGUGAAGAGGGAAACAACCCAGACCGCCAGCUAAGGUCCCAAAGUCAUGGUUAAGUGGGAAACGAUGUGGGAAGGCCCAGACAGCCAGGAUGUUGGCUUAGAAGCAGCCAUCAUUUAAAGAAAGCGUAAUAGCUCACUGGUCGAGUCGGCCUGCGCGGAAGAUGUAACGGGGCUAAACCAUGCACCGAAGCUGCGGCAGCGACACUGUGUGUUGUUGGGUAGGGGAGCGUUCUGUAAGCCUGUGAAGGUGUGUCGUGAGGCAUGCUGGAGGUAUCAGAAGUGCGAAUGCUGACAUAAGUAACGAUAAAGCGGGUGAAAAGCCCGCUCGCCGGAAGACCAAGGGUUCCUGUCCAACGUUAAUCGGGGCAGGGUGAGUCGACCCCUAAGGCGAGGCCGAAAGGCGUAGUCGAUGGGAAACGGGUUAAUAUUCCCGUACUUGGUGUUACUGCGAAGGGGGGACGGAGAAGGCUAUGUUGGCCGGGCGACGGUUGUCCCGGUUUAAGCGUGUAGGUGUGUGUUCCAGGUAAAUCCGGUUCACUUUAACACUGAGGCGUGACGACGAGGCACUACGGUGCUGAAGCAACAAAUGCCCUGCUUCCAGGAAAAGCCUCUAAGCAUCAGGUAACAUCAAAUCGUACCCCAAACCGACACAGGUGGUCAGGUAGAGAAUACCAAGGCGCUUGAGAGAACUCGGGUGAAGGAACUAGGCAAAAUGGUGCCGUAACUUCGGGAGAAGGCACGCUGACACGUAGGUGAAGUGAUUUACUCAUGGAGCUGAAGUCAGUCGAAGAUACCAGCUGGCUGCAACUGUUUAUUAAAAACACAGCACUGUGCAAACACGAAAGUGGACGUAUACGGUGUGACGCCUGCCCGGUGCCGGAAGGUUAAUUGAUGGGGUCAGCGCAAGCGAAGCUCCUGAUCGAAGCCCCGGUAAACGGCGGCCGUAACUAUAACGGUCCUAAGGUAGCGAAAUUCCUUGUCGGGUAAGUUCCGACCUGCACGAAUGGCGUAAUGAUGGCCAGGCUGUCUCCACCCGAGACUCAGUGAAAUUGAACUC